AUGAUUUUCGGCAUACCCUUUGUCCUUAUUUUUCCUGCACGUUAUGGUUGGGCACUCUAAGGAUACUGCCGGUGACAAACCGGAGGAAGGUGGGGAUGACGUCAAGUCAUCAUGGCCCUUACGGCCUGGGCUACACACGUGCUACAAUGGUCGGUACAGAGGGUUGCCAAGCCGCGAGGUGGAGCUAA
rnacentral:rRNA from 1 species